rnacentral:rRNA from 1 species
GAUGAACGCUGGCGGCGUGCCUAAUACAUGCAAGUCGAGCGAACAGACGAGGAGCUUGCUCCUCUGACGUUAGCGGCGGACGGGUGAGUAACACGUGGAUAACCUACCUAUAAGACUGGGAUAACUUCGGGAAACCGGAGCUAAUACCGGAUAAUAUAUUGAACCGCAUGGUUCAAUAGUGAAAGACGGCUUUGCUGUCACUUAUAGAUGGAUCCGCGCCGCAUUAGCUAGUUGGUAAGGUAACGGCCUACCAAGGCAACGAUGCGUAGCCGACCUGAAAGGGUGAUCGGCCACACUGGAACUGGGACACGGUCCAGACUCCUACGGGAGGCAGCAGUAGGGAAUCUUACGCAAUGGGCGAAAGCCUGACGGAGCAACGCCGCGUGAGUGAUGAAGGUCUUCGGAUCGUAAAACUCUGUUAUUAGGGAAGAACAAAUGUGUAAGUAACUAUGCACGUCUUGACGGUACCUAAUCAGAAAGCCACGGCUAACUACGUG